rnacentral:tRNA from 1 species
GGGCACGUAGCUCAAUGGCAGAGCGCCUGUCUUAUACACAGGUGGCUGGAGGUUCGAGCCCUCCCGUGCCCA